AAUACGUAGGGUGCGAGCGUUGUCCGGAAUUAUUGGGCGUAAAGGGCUCGUAGGCGGUUUGUCGCGUCGGGAGUGAAAACCCCAGGCUUAACUUGGGGCUUGCUUUCGAUACGGGCAGACUUGAGGCAUGCAGGGGAGAACGGAAUUCCUGGUGUAGCGGUGAAAUGCGCAGAUAUCAGGAGGAACACCGGUGGCGAAGGCGGUUCUCUGGGCAUGUUCUGACGCUGAGGAGCGAAAGUGUGGGGAGCGAACAG
rnacentral:rRNA from 1 species